GAUGAACGCUGGCGGCGUGCCUAAUACAUGCAAGUCGAGCGAACAGGCUAGGGCCUUGUGGCUCGGACGUUAGCGGAACGCGUGUGAAUAACACGUGCAUACCCCCCCUGUAAGACUGGGAUAACUUCGAGAAGCCGUCGAAAAUAGCAGAUAAUAUAUUUACCCACAGGGUUCAACAGUGAAGUACGGCUGUUGUGGAUCGGCUAGCGGGCUCCCCGCCUGUUUGUGAGGUAGUUGCGCACCAAGGUUACGACGGGUAGCCGGCCUGAGAGAGCGACCGGCCACACUGGGACUGAGACACGGCCCAGACUCCUACGGGAGGCAGCAGUGGGGAAUAUUGCACAAUGGGCGAAAGCCUGAUGCAGCGACGCCGCGUGAGGGAUGACGGCCUUCGGGUUGUAAACCUCUUUCAGCAGGGAAGAAGCGAAAGUGACGGUACCUGCAGAAGAAGCACCGGCUAACUACGUG
rnacentral:rRNA from 1 species